AUUGAACGCUGGCGGCAGGCCUAACACAUGCAAGUCGGACGGUAGCACAGAGAGCUUGCUCUCGGGUGACGAGUGGCGGACGGGUGAGUAAUGUCUGGGGAUCUGCCCGAUAGAGGGGGAUAACCACUGGAAACGGUGGCUAAUACCGCAUAACGUCGCAAGACCAAAGAGGGGGACCUUCGGGCCUCUCACUAUCGGAUGAACCCAGAUGGGAUUAGCUAGUAGGCGGGGUAAUGGCCCACCUAGGCGACGAUCCCUAGCUGGUCUGAGAGGAUGACCAGCCACACUGGAACUGGGACACGGUCCAGACUCCUACGGGAGGCAGCAGUGGGGAAUAUUGCACAAUGGGCGCAAGCCUGAUGCAGCCAUGCCGCGUGUAUGAAGAAGGCCUUCGGGUUGUAAAGUACUUUCAGCGGGGAGGAAGGCGAUGCGGUUAAUAACCGUGUCGAUUGACGUUACCCGCAGAAGAAGCACCGGCUAACUCCGUGCCAGCCGCCGCAGUAA
rnacentral:rRNA from 1 species